CUUUAAAAUGGGAGGUAAAAUUUCUCCUAAAGGUAAAUAUUGGCGAGAGACCGAUAGCGAACAAGUACCGUGAGGGAAAGAUGAAAAGUACUUGAAAAGAGAGUUAAAUAGUACGUGAAAUUGUUGAAAGGGAAACGAUUGAAGUCAGUCGACCAACGAGAAAUCAACCUUUCGAGCAUGAUCUUGUGGGUGCGUAAGAGUCUUUAUAAGCUUUGUGUUUACAAGUUUGUGUUUCUUUGGCGUAUUUUUUCGUAUGGUAGGUUAACAUCAUUUUGGUAAUCAUAAAAUGAUUGGAGGAAUGUAGCUUCGAUUUUUUUCGUAGUGUUAUGACUUCGGUAGAUAUGAUUAUUGAGAUUGAGGAUUGCAACGAAUACCUUUUAGGCUAUUGCCUGAUCUCUGAUCGUUGCCUUGGUGCCGAAAGCGUGCUUACGGUUAUCGAGGUUAAUGUCAAAAGGUUAGAACGAAUUAAAUUCGUUAAGGAUGUUGACGUAAUGACUUUAAACGA
rnacentral:rRNA from 1 species